rnacentral:rRNA from 1 species
GUAGGGUGCGAGCGUUAAUCGGAAUUACUGGGCGUAAAGCGUGCGCAGGCGGUUUUGUAAGCCGGAUGUGAAAUCCCCGGGCUUAACCUGGGAAUGGUAUUCGGGACUGCAAGGCUGGAGUGCGGCAGAGGAGACUGGAAUUCCUGGUGUAGCAGUGAAAUGCGUAGAUAUCAGGAGGAACACCGAUGGCGAAGGCAGGUCUCUGGGCUGACACUGACGCUCAUGCACGAAAGCGUGGGGAGCAAACAGGAUUAGAUACCCUGGUAGUCCACGCCCUAAACGAUGUCGACUGGUUGUUGGGGGUUUGACACUCUCAGUAACGAAGCUAACGCGUGAAGUCGACCGCCUGGGGAGUACGGCCGCAAGGUUA